GACGAACGCUGGCGGCGUGCUUAACACAUGCAAGUCGAACGGAAAGGCCCUGCUUUUGUGGGGUGCUCGAGUGGCGAACGGGUGAGUAACACGUGAGUAACCUGCCCUUGACUUUGGGAUAACUUCAGGAUACUGGGGCUAAUACCGGAUAGGAGCUCCUGCUGCAUGGUGGGGGUUGGAAAGUUUCGGCGGUUGGGGAUGGACUCGCGGCUUAUCAGCUUGUUGGUGGGGUAGUGGCUUACCAAGGCUUUGACGGGUAGCCGGCCUGAGAGGGUGACCGGCCACAUUGGGACUGCGAUACGGCCCAGACUCCUACGGGAGGCAGCAGUGGGGAAUAUUGCACAAUGGGCGGAAGCCUGAUGCAGCAACGCCGCGUGCGGGAUGACGGCCUUCGGGUUGUAAACCGCUUUCGCCUGUGACGAAGCGUGAGUGACGGUAAUGGGUAAAGAAGCACCGGCUAACUACGUG
rnacentral:rRNA from 1 species